UACGUAGGGGGCGAGCGUUGUCCGAAAUUACUGGGCGUAAAGCGCGCGUAGGCGGUUAUUUAAGUCUGGGGUGAAAGGCUCAGCGCCCAACGUGAACCGGGCCUUGGAUACUGGAUGCCUUGAGUCUGGGGGGGGGAAGGGGAAUUCCUGGUGUAGCGGUGAAAUGCGUAGAUAUCAGGAGGAACACCGGUGGCGAAGGCGCCUUCCUGGCCUAAGACUGACGCUGAGGGGCGAAAGCGUGGGGAGCAAACGGGAUUAGAUACCCCGGUAGUCCACGCCGUAAACGAUGAGUGCUAGGUGUCGGGGGUAUCGACCCCCCCGGUGCCGUCGCUAACGCAUUAAGCACUCCGCCUGGGGAGUACGGCCGCAAGGUUG
rnacentral:rRNA from 1 species